rnacentral:rRNA from 1 species
GAUGAACGCUGGCGGCGUGCCUAAUACAUGCAAGUCGAGCGAACAGACGAGGAGCUUACUCCUCUGACGUUAGCGGCGGACGGGUGAGUAACACGUGGAUAACCUACCUAUAAGACUGGGAUAACUUCGGGAAACCGGAGCUAAUACCGGAUAACAUGUUGAACCGCAUGGUUCAACAGUGAAAGACGGUCUUGCUGUCACUUAUAGAUGGAUCCGCGUCGCAUUAGCUAGUUGGUAAGGUAACGGCUUACCAAGGCAACGAUGCGUAGCCGACCUGAGAGGGUGAUCGGCCACACUGGAACUGAGACACGGUCCAGACUCCUACGGGAGGCAGCAGUAGGGAAUCUUCCGCAAUGGGCGAAAGCCUGACGGAGCAACGCCGCGUGAGUGAAGAAGGUCUUCGGAGCGUAAAACUCUGUUAUUAGGGAAGAACAAAUGUGUAAGUAACUAUGCACGUCUUGACGGUACCUAAUCAGAAAGCCACGGCUAACUACGUG